GGGCCUUCGGGUUGUAAAGGACUUUGUCAGGGAGCAAAACUUACUGGUUAAUACCUGGUGAGGUUGAGAGUACCUGAAGAAUAAGCACCGGCUAACUACGUGCCAGCAGCCGCGGUAAUACGUAGGGGUGCAAGCGUUAAUCGGAAUUACUGGGCGUAAAGCGUGCGCAGGCGGACUUUUAAGCCAGAUGUGAAAGCCCCGAGCUUAACUUGGGAAUUGCGUUUGGAACUGGGAGUCUAGAGUCUGUCAGAGGGGGAUGGAAUUCCACGUGUAGCAGUGAAAUGCGUAGAGAUGUGGAGGAACACCGAUGGCGAAGGCAGUCCCCUGGGAUAAGACUGACGCUCAUGCACGAAAGCGUGGGGAGCAAACAGGAUUAGAUACCCUGGUAGUCCACGCCCUAAACGAUGUCUACUAGUUGUUGGGGUAGCAAUACCUCAGUGACGCAGCUAACGCGUGAAGUAGACCGCCUGGGGAGUACGGUCGCAAGAUUAAAACUCAAAGGAAUUGACGGGGGA
rnacentral:rRNA from 1 species